rnacentral:rRNA from 1 species
CAGCCGCCGCGGUAAUACAGAGGGUGCGAGCGUUAAUCGGAUUUACUGGGCGUAAAGCGUGCGUAGGCGGCUUUUUAAGUCGGAUGUGAAAUCCCUGAGCUUAACUUAGGAAUUGCAUUCGAUACUGGGAAGCUAGAGUAUGGGAGAGGAUGGUAGAAUUCCAGGUGUAGCGGUGAAAUGCGUAGAGAUCUGGAGGAAUACCGAUGGCGAAGGCAGCCAUCUGGCCUAAUACUGACGCUGAGGUACGAAAGCAUGGGGAGCAAACAGGAUUAGAGACCCCUGUAGUCCUGUCUCUUAUACA